rnacentral:rRNA from 1 species
CCUACGGGUGGCAGCAGUGGGGGAUAUUGCACAAUGGGGGGAACCCUGAUGCAGCGACGCCGCGUGGGUGAAGAAGCGCCUCGGCGCGUAAAGCCCUGUCAGCAGGGAAGAAAAUGACGGUACCUGAAGAAGAAGCCCCGGCUAACUACGUGCCAGCAGCCGGGGUAAUACGUAGGGGGCAAGCGGUAUCCGGAUUUACUGGGUGUAAGGGGGGCGCAGACGGGGAUGCAAGCCAGGAGUGAAAGCCCGAGGCCCAACCCCGGGACUGCUCUUGGAACUGCGUGGCUGGAGUGCAGGAGGGGCAGGCGGAAUGCCUGGUGUAGCGGUGAAAUGCGUAGAUAUCAGGAGGAACACCGGUGGCGAAGGCGGCCUGCGGGACUGCAACUGACGUUGAGGCCCGAAAGCGUGGGGAGCAAACAGGAUUAGAUACCCCAGUAGUC